UACGUAGGGGGGCAAGCGUUGUCCGGAUUUAUUGGGCGUAAAGCGCGUGUAGGCGGCCAGAUAGGUCUGCUGUGAAAAACUCGGAGGCUCAACCUCGAGCUGUCGGCGGAAACCAUCUGGGCUAGAGUCCGGAAGAGGAGAGUGGAAUUCCGUGGUGUAGCGGUGAAAUGCGCAGACUAUCAGGAAGAACACCUAUGGCGAAGGCAGCUCUCUGGGACGGUACUGACGCUGAGACGCGAAAGCGUGGGGAGCGAACAGG
rnacentral:rRNA from 1 species